GCCAGGCGUGGUGGUGCAUGCCUGUAAUCCUAGUGGCUUGGGAGACUGAGGCAGGAAUAUUGUGAGUUCUAAGCCAGCUUCAGCAAAAGCAAGGUGCAAAUCAGCUCAGUGAGACCCUGUCUCUA
rnacentral:sRNA from 1 species